rnacentral:misc_RNA from 1 species
UCACACCUUGCGGUGGCAGUCCCGCCAGAGUGCCCAGCUUGACCUGAUGGCAACUGGCGGCAAGGGUUGCGCUCGUUAUGGCACUUGAGCCGACACCUCACGGCACGAGCUGACGACAACCAUGCAGCACCUCGACACCUGUCCGAAGACUCAACCAUCUCUGGGUGAUUCAGGUGCCGUUCGAGCCCGGGUAAGGUUCCUCGCGUAUCAUCGAAUUAAACCACAUGUUCCUCCGCUUGUGCGGGCCCCCGUCAAUUCCUUUGAGUUUCAUCGUUGCCGACGUACUCCCCAGGUGGAUGGCUUAUCGCUUUCGCUUGGCCACCGACAGUGUGUCGCCGGCGGUUAGCCAUCAUCGUUUACGGCGUGGAAUAC